rnacentral:lncRNA from 1 species
CUCCUGUCUCCCCUAAGAACUGAAGGAGUUCUGUAUGCAGCUGAAGGGUAACAUCCCUUGGGAGCUUUUGCCUUGUCUGGCUGACGCCUUGGCAAUCGCAAGUGACAGUGACGGAGAGCCACCUCCUCUGGAAUGCAUCAUGGAACAGGUCUGGGAGAACAGAGGGUGCAGAAAGGGAAAAGCCAGGCAUUUGUAGUCCUCCUGCCACAGAUGACCAGAAUGACCUCACCCAGGACAAACGGCGACAGAUUUAGGAAUUCAAGCCAGCUUUUCUGACUCCCAGGCACCUGCUCUCUCCUUUCGAGUGUUCGACUCCACUCUCAGUCACUCGUCACUCUUCCCAGAAGGACAAAUGUGCAGCUUCUAUGUCUUGGAUUUCAAAUAAAAGACGAGGAACUUGGUGAAAUGAGGUGGUCUUUGCCUUCCGCGUCACUCUCUGCUCCUCCUGGCAAGAGGCCCCAUUUUUCUUGCCACUGAGGUUAAGUGAAAACAAAACAAAACAAACAAACAAAAAAGAGGCCCCAUUCACAGUAAAGAUAAACAGCAGCCUGGGCAGGCCAGCGGCUCUUCCCUGACGUGGAAUUAUGAGCCCUCUUUCUUCGAUUUUGCCACAUACCCGCAGCUGCACUCCCAUAAUCUGAAAGCUGUCCCUUUAAUUUUUACCACUUCAUUAUUAGAAUUGGAGUAGAAUGAAAAUUAAUUUUUCCCUGAGCUAUUUUUGUGUCCCUUGAGUUAACCAGAAAUACCAACCCUGGAAAGAGAUGUGGGGGACAGUCAUUUUAGAGAGCGGACACCACUGCUGAAGAAGAAGGAUAUCCCGGUUGGCUGCUCUAGAGCCGGCAGGACGGAUGCUGAGGUUGUUCGCAGCAGCGUGUGUGCAGAGCCCCCGGGAUCUUGCAGACUGGGAUUUGUCAGGGCAGGUGUGGACAUUGAGGCUAUUUCUAACAAGCUCCUACAUGAUGCUGGGGCUGCAGAGCCCCAGGCCGCACUUGGAGUAUGAGAGUUUCCAGGGAGUGAAGCCCCGGCUGCUCUCUCUGCCCCCUCUCCAUCUGCCCCCUGGGUGAGGACAGGACUCCCAUCCCUCCAGUGCACAGUGAGUGCUGCUCAAUCUGCAUCCACAGCGGUUUGUGCCCAGAUGCUUCCUCACUCAGCGUCUAACAGGGUGCAGUGGAAACGUCAUUGACUGGAGGAAAGGUGUGUGGGUGAGAAACGUUUGUCGGUUGAGUAACUUUUUGUCGUUAUUUUUUUUCUCUGAUGUUCAAAGUAAGAGAAAACUCAUCUGGCCCCUGGAGCCCAUGUGAGCAACAUGAAAGAUAAAGGGAAAAGGGGGCUGAUAAAGAUGUGGACCGAGUCUGAGAUAAGAUUCUUUGCCCCUUGGGUGAAUCCAGGUGAAGUUGUUUUACUCUUAGCCCAGCCAGCCCUGGAUAAAGGCUUCAUCCCUCUUCUCUUUCCUGUCCAUAUAUCAGAACUUUAAGCUCUACUUGUACCCAGUGAAGAUUAGAAUAACGCACGGAGCACAGGAAAUGUCUAGGUGAUGAUUUCACUGAGCUUUACAAGGGACACAGGUACGCAUCAAGAGCUUGGGCCACUGGGUAAAGAGGGAUCUGGUUCUUGCUCUAACGCGGUUCAUCUUCUGUGUCAGAAUCAGAUAGAUUCUGGGUGUCAGAGACCCGAAUCUUCCUCUUGUUCCGCUCACUGCCCCCCUGUGGCCCCUUCUCAUUUCAAAUGCUCUGUCUGUAAUAUGAAAUGAAAAGAAUUCCUCCCAGACCCCUAGCCAAAUUUCACCUUAAGCUCGUUGACUCCCAGAGGAAAUCUCUGUGGGAGACUGGAAAGAGGACGCUGGAGCCAGAGGCUAUCUUUGAUAGUGAGGUGAGGUUUACUGUUUAAUAAGAACUCCAAAGAUAUGCCUAAUAUUGAAGGUUGUCUCUCGCUUCCUUGGGAAACCCAAACCAGAAGUUUAGGCCGUAUAGAAAGUAAGUGGUUUGGGUGCAAAAGGGAUGUAGAACAUCCCUUUUAAUGGUAUCAUAGAAUAUGAGAACUAGAAGAGAGCUCAAAGAUCAUUUAGGCCAACCUCUACAUUUUAUAGAUAAGAACACUGGGCCUGUGGUCAUUCCACAAGUUUGUGGCAAGCCUUGGAUUACAACAGAUCACCAGGUUCCCUGACUCCUAGUUCAGUGCUUUUCCAACACCCAGAAUCAUAAUCUUCAGGAAGGAGCGUGCUUUUCACCUAUCUGUUGAAGGUUAUCUCUUAC